UACGGGGGGGGCAAGCGUUGUUCGGAAUUACUGGGCGUAAAGGGCUCGUAGGCGGCCAACUAAGUCGGAUGUGAAAUCCCCAGGCUUAACCUGGGAAUUGCAUCCGAUACUGGAUGGCUUGAAUCCGGGAGAGGGAUGCGGAAUUCCAGGUGUAGCGGUGAAAUGCGUAGAUAUCUGGAGGAACACCGGUGGCGAAGGCGGCAUCCUGGACCAAUAUUGACGCUGAGGAGCGAAAGCCAGGGGAGCAAACGGG
rnacentral:rRNA from 1 species